GCUGAGAGCCGGGAAUUUGGGGCUGGGGGCUCCGUGGAGCUGUUCCCAGUGGACACAAACGCGUGCUCCUCGCAGCGCUGUCCCUCUCUGAUGUGCUUUUAGAAGCGCUGUUUUCUCCCAAGCCGUGUCCUCACUCCUAAAAUGCCUUCGAGCGAGAGAUAAGUGCGUGUGGGGGACGGAAGCAGUGAGCAGAUAGAUGAGUGAUUAGGUCAUUGGGAUGAGAACUGAGGGGUUUUUUUUUUUUUACGCCGAGCUCCCUUCUCGUUUCUUGCUGAUCAGAUUCCCUGCGAACACGGAGGGCUGAAACUGCGCUUUAGUCAGGUGAUCCCUGAUGAGUAGCCAGCCCACCAAGAAGGGACUUGAGCACACAGACAAACCACCUGCCAAGCUUGGAUUCUCCCUCAGUGUUUGAGACAUCCACAUUUGUCCCUUACCUUCCGGAAUUCCACAGCUCUGGGGACAAGCCGAAACACUAAAGAAGAGGACCUAAAGCAGGUGGCAGUGUGUUAUUACAAUACUCCACUCCUACUUAGGGCUUGUACAUCCCAACCCAUGCCUGGCUUUCACCAUCAUGGUGUUUUCAAGCAGGAGAAUGUGACAAGGCUUCUGUAACUUCUUUGG
rnacentral:lncRNA from 1 species